AUCCCGUUAAGUUCUAGAGAGAAGCUGAGAGUUCACAGAGGGUGAUAAAAUCUAGAGGAGCCACGUGGAGGUGAGAGUUUAGAAGUAGGAGUGGAGACAGUAAGAAUGCCAGGAAAAGCAAGGUCAACUGAGGAGAUCUCUGCAAAAAUAAGACGAAUCAGGACAAGAGCAAGACCUAUCUUUGGCGAUUUGAAUUGGCAGGACUGAGCCGGCAAACCGGCUCAGUGAGAAGAAGGGCAGGGUAACUUUGACGGACGCCAGUGCCUUGAAGCUUGGACGGGAAAAGCUGAGAAGCUCUGGGAACCUAAGCAAACAGAAAGAAGGGGACCAAGUAGGGCAAAUCUCACAGCAGCAGUAUUUAUGGGAAUAUGCUUUUCACCUGUUGCUCUUGUGUGCCGUCUGGUGGCUUCAUUACAAGGCAGGAAGAAGCAGAAGGGCCAUCUGGAAUCAAGCUCCUUUGCAAGAAAGCAAGCAAGCAGGUCACACGUGGCUCAAGUGGCUGCCAGCCGAGCAGAGGCGGCGGACUUCCCAUCAGCGCCUGACUCUUCCGAAGCCCAGCUCCUCACAGGAGACAGACUGCUGGCUCAUGGCCCUUGGUGGAAAUUCCCUUACAGGUCGCAACCUGGAGUUCAGCUGUGAAACAGAAUUCCUAUUCAGAAUUUCACAACAGUCGACUGAGAAGAGCCUGUUCUCAUCUCUCUGGCAAUGGAGAUUUUGUGCUCCACUUCCUUUUCAGAGCCCUUACCCUCUCCCCAUCCUUCUUGACUGUUGCCGCCACAUGUGUGAUUCCAACUAAAUCUGAUGUCUGCUGAUGAAACUUCAAAUAUUUUAGGUCCUCUGGACAGUUUCUCCCUGAGUCAAAAAAUAAAGUUAUCCCACUUCUCCAAACAACUCAACAAUUAAUUAAAGAAAGCAUUUUAAUACCAAA